GCGUCGGUGGGGCAACGGUUUAGCACACACUCCCGGAAAGUGUGAGAUCGGGGUUGGAAUCCCGGCUGGCGCA